rnacentral:lncRNA from 1 species
AAUUUUACCUGAAUCAAAAGGAAAUGAAUCAGACAAAAAGAAUUUUAAAAUCAUGUAAAAUUCAGAGAAGGAAAAUUUUGGACAGAAACUUCCUUGGAGUUUUGAAGUUGGUUUCCUCGAGUACAUGCAUCCCCAAAUCUCAAACUGACAAGCACGAUCUCUGCUUCUGUUUCUGACACCUUUUGGAGACUGAUCCUGUUUAUCCUGGACACUCAAAACAAACAUUAAAAUACGAAGAUCAUAUGUGCAAGACAAGUACUUAUUCAUAUCAAAAACCAAAGCUUCUUUCUCUAGAACAUGUAGCACACGUCAUCAUGAAGCCUAUCAAAGUAAGUGUUGUACACCAGAAUGGUGUCAGGGCACGUGAUAGCAC